rnacentral:rRNA from 1 species
AUUGAACGCUGGCGGCAUGCCUUACACAUGCAAGUCGAACGGCAGCACGGGGCAACCUGGUGGCGAGUGGCGAACGGGUGAGUAAUGCAUCGGAACGUACCUUUCAGUGGGGGAUAACGUAGCGAAAGUUACGCUAAUACCGCAUAUUCUGUGAGCAGGAAAGCAGGGGAUCGCAAGACCUUGCGCUGAUUGAGCGGCCGAUGUCAGAUUAGCUAGUUGGUGAGGUAUAGGCUCACCAAGGCGACGAUCUGUAGCGGGUCUGAGAGGAUGAUCCGCCACACUGGAACUGAGACACGGUCCAGACUCCUACGGGAGGGAGCAGUGGGGAAGUUUGGACAAUGGGGGCAACCCUGAUCCAGCCAUGCCGCGUGAGGGAAGAAGGCCUUCGGGUUGUAAAGCUCUUUCGGCCGGGAAGAAAUCGCACGGGCUAAUACCCUGUGUGGAUGACGGUACCGGAAUAAGAAGCACCGGCUAACUACGUGCCAGCCGCCGCCGUAAGAC